CCUACGGGGGGCAGCAGUGAGGAAUAUUGGUCAAUGGACGCAAGUCUGAACCAGCCAUGCCGCGUGCAGGAAGACGGCUCUAUGAGUUGUAAACUGCUUUUGUACGAGGGUAAACGCAGAUACGUGUAUCUUUCUGAAAGUAUCGUACGAAUAAGGAUCGGCUAACUCCGUGCCAGCAGCCGCGGUAAUACGGAGGAUUCAAGCGUUAUCCGGAUUUAUUGGGUUUAAAGGGUGCGUAGGCGGUUGGAUAAGUUAGAGGUGAAAGCCUGAGGCUCAACUUUGGAAUUGCAGCUGAUACUGGUCGGCUAGAGAGUAGUUGCGGUAGGCGGAAUGUAUGGUGUAGCGGUGAAAUGCUUAGAGAUCAUACAGAACACCGAUUGCGAAGGCAGCUUACCAGGCUACUACUGACGUUGAGGCACGAAAGCGUGGGGAGCAAACAGGAUUAGAUACCCCAGUAGUC
rnacentral:rRNA from 1 species